UGGUUGGAGUCCUGGCUGCUUUACUUCCAAUCCAGCUCUCUGCUGUGGCCUGGGAAAGCAGUGGAUGAUGGCCCAAGUCCUUGGGCCCCUGCACCCCCGUGGGAGACCCGGAAAAAGCUCCUGGCUCCUGGCUUCGGAUUGGUGCAGCUACAGCCAUUAUGGCCAAUUGGGGAGUGAACCAUUGGAUGGAAGACCUCUCUCUCUCUCUCUGCUACUCCUCUCUCUGUUUAACUCUGACUUUCAAAUAAAUAAAUAAAUCUUAAAAAAAAAAAAAAGGAGAGAGAGAGAUUGAUUUUUCUGUCAUCUGGUUCACUCCCCAGGUGGCCACAACACCUGGGGCUGGGCCAGGCAGAGGCCAGGAGCCAGGAGCUUCUUCCUGGUAUCCCAUGUGAGUGCAGAGACCCAAGCACGUGGGCCAUCCUCCGCUGCUUUGCCAAGCACUUUAGCAGGGAGCUGGACCAGAACCGAAGCAACCAGGCUCCAACCAGCACCCAUAUGGGAUGUUGGUGUUGCAGGCUUAGCCCACUGUGCCACAGCGCCAGCCCCAAGACUACGUUAUUUUAACCAGAUAAUAUUUUCUGUAAUAGAGGCUGACCUAGUGAACUGGACAUGACAUCAGCCGACCACUACCAAAAAUGUCUGCAGGUGGAUGUGUGUGUGUCAGGCUGGGAUUCUCACACCAGAAGGGGAGACACUGCGGGAGGAGGAGGAAGGACUCUUCGGGACUAGUCGAGAUCAAAGAGAGACAGAGACAAGAGUGAUCUUUGACCUGCUGAUUCAGUCUCCAGAUGCCUGCUGCAGCCAGGACUGGGCCAGGCCAAAGCCAGAAGACCGGCCCUCCAUCCAGGUUGUGAGUUCCCAUGGGCGGCUGUGCCUCUUCCUCCUCACUCAGUCUUCCCAUGCCCACACACCUCCUCGGCACUUGGUGGCUGCCUUAGGAGACGCCGUGUGAGUGACCGGGGACGGGCGCCCGCUCCGAGUGACCGGGGCAGCUGCCUCCAGCACCCUGUGUGCUUUUCGAUGCUGACAGUGGAGGCUGUGCACAGACUCCAGGGCAGAUCUGACCCCUCCUUCCUGUCACCAAGUCCCUCAGACUUUUGAAGGCCAGCACAGCAGCACAGAAGCCUCACUACGGGUGGCAAGACCAGGCCUUAGAAUCGAUUCUGACUGCUCGCCUGCAGGACGCACUGGGGCCUGGCUCUCAGGCUGUCUCUCCCACGUGGGUGGCAGGGACCCAGGUACCUAAGCCAUCGCCUGUUGCCUCCCAGGCUUCGCUUUAGUGGGAAGCUGGAACUGGGAGCAGAGCCAGGCCUUGAACCCAGGAACUUCAGUGUGGGACGGCGAUAUCCCAAGUGGCAUGUUAACUGCUGCACCACACUCCCGACUCCUGAACUCCUGGUCUUCAUCUGAGAAUCAUCUUGGGGAAUAAGAACUGCUUGCUUGUGUCUGUAGCAUUUAUGGAGUUAGUGCCACACUGAAAGAAACAGACCGGAGCCCGGCGCAAGUUGGGAUUUGAGAUUCGGGAGGAGUCAUCAUGCAUGCAGAAGGCAAACGGGAUUAACUGAACCACUGUGUGGACAAGCACCUGGGUGCUGCUGGGUGUCCUGCAGGGUACGAGGGUGCAGCCCUGAGCCUUGGCACCAUUCCCCCCUUUAGAGCUCACAGUCCCUGUCCUGAGGGAGGACAGGCCGGCCCAGCAGAGGACAUCCUGUGAACCACAGAGAUGGAGAGGAGAUGCCUAGUUAUGUAAAUGAGCUUUCUACUUUUGUAGGACCUAAACUGUAGUUCUGUCAGUGACAACUGAAGCCUGUAACUAACAGUCAAAAAUAGUGAUGCCAAGGCUGGAGCUGAAUUUUCGGAGGCUAUUUAAAAAUGUGGCAUUUAAAUUUAUACAUGAACUGAAAAAUGAAGCAAGUCCUGUGACACUUUGACAGGCUUAAUCACUUCCCCUGUAACACAAACAGUAACCUAAUAGCAAGAUGCUAAUCGCGCCUUGGUGCAGGUGCUGCUAAUUAGCUAUUGGAUUAGGCUGCGAUGUAUUCUUUCCCUCACCUAUGCACGGUGUUUGUACAAGAUGCAAAUGAGAGCUCUAAGCUGAAAUGUUCAAGGGCCAAGCACGGACUGACCUUGGAACAGGGCGAGGUCAGGGCGUGGUUGUCCUGCAGGUCUCAGCCGGGUUCCUGGUGCCCCUCCUGACAGUCCAGGGUUCCUCUCCACGGGGAGGUUCAGCUCUGGCCGAGUGACCAGGUGCAGAGUCGGAAGCCAUUUCUCACUCCAUCUUCUGCUCUUGGAGAGGCAGCAGCGGUCACUCGAUAAUUAGGGGUCAUCAUCCUUUGCUGGGCAGGUGUCUGUCACAGGCCUGCUGUAGGUAGUAGGGAGGACAUGAGUAUUUGCUGAAUGAAAAAUACUCUCUGGAGUGUUACAAAAAGGCUCCCAUGAACACUCUGGGCACUUGGUACUUAACCUGUGGUGAAGUAGUGGUCUCCAUUGUGGGGCGUAUGUGCAGAAGAGCUAGUGCCCUGCCUUGGUCAGCUCUUUCCAGUUGGCUGGGAGGAACACAAGCUCUGGCCACAGGACAGGGGUACACUUCUGGGCUGAGGCCCUGGGUUGGGGGGGAAGGGGAGCCCAGUGAGAUGGAGGAGGCCAAGGGAGGACGCAGGAGCCACGGCUGUUGCUGGCUCCUGCAGGAAAGGUGUGGGUAACUCCUUGCAUCAAGAUGACUUGUGUUUUUUCCUUGAUUUUGUGAGAUUAAUACAGUUUUUAAAUAUUUAUUUGAAAAGCAUUGUUAUAAAGAGAGAGAGAGAGAGAUCUUCUGUCUGCUGGUUCACUCCCCAUAUGACUGCAGUGGCCAGGGCUGUGCCAGGCUAAAGCCAGGAGCCUGGAACUCCAUCUGGGUCUCCCGUUUUGGAGUCAGGGGCCC